rnacentral:tRNA from 1 species
GGAAAUAGUUCAGUGGUAGAGCACAUGCUUAGCAUGAAUGAGGUCCUAGGUUCAAUCCCCAGUAUGUCCA